ACGAACGCUGGCGGCGUGGAUAAGACAUGCAAGUCGAACGAGAGAAUUGCUAGCUUGCUAAUAAUUCUCUAGUGGCGCACGGGUGAGUAACACGUGAGUAACCUGCCCCCGAGAGCGGGAUAGCCCUGGGAAACUGGGAUUAAUACCGCAUAGUAUCGAAAGAUUAAAGCAGCAAUGCGCUUGGGGAUGGGCUCGCGGCCUAUUAGUUAGUUGGUGAGGUAACGGCUCACCAAGGCGAUGACGGGUAGCCGGUCUGAGAGGAUGUCCGGCCACACUGGAACUGAGACACGGUCCAGACACCUACGGGUGGCAGCAGUCGAGAAUCAUUCACAAUGGGGGAAACCCUGAUGGUGCGACGCCGCGUGGGGGAAUGAAGGUCUUCGGAUUGUAAACCCCUGUCAUGUGGGAGCAAAUUAAAAAGAUAGUACCACAAGAGGAAGAGACGGCUAACUCUGUGCCAGCAGCCGCGGUAAUACAGAGGUCUCAAGCGUUGUUCGGAAUCACUGGGCGUAAAGCGUGCGUAGGCUGUUUCGUAAGUCGUGUGUGAAAGGCGCGGGCUCAACCCGCGGACGGCACAUGAUACUGCGAGACUAGAGUAAUGGAGGGGGAACCGGAAUUCUCGGUGUAGCAGUGAAAUGCGUAGAUAUCGAGAGGAACACUCGUGGCGAAGGCGGGUUCCUGGACAUUAACUGACGCUGAGGCACGAAGGCCAGGGGAGCGAAAGGGAUUAGAUACCCCUGUAGUCCUGGCAGUAAACGGUGCACGCUUGGUGUGCGGGGAAUCGACCCCCUGCGUGCCGGAGCUAACGCGUUAAGCGUGCCGCCUGGGGAGUACGGUCGCAAGAUUAAAACUCAAAGAAAUUGACGGGGACCCGCACAAGCGGUGGAGUAUGUGGCUUAAUUCGAUGCAACGCGAAGAACCUUACCUGGGCUUGACAUGUAAUGAACAACAUGUGAAAGCAUGCGACUCUUCGGAGGCGUUACACAGGUGCUGCAUGGCCGUCGUCAGCUCGUGUCGUGAGAUGUUUGGUUAAGUCCAGCAACGAGCGCAACCCCUGUUGCCAGUUACCAGCACGUGAAGGUGGGGACUCUGGCGAGACUGCCCAGAUCAACUGGGAGGAAGGUGGGGACGACGUCAGGUCAGUAUGGCCCUUAUGCCCAGGGCUGCACACAUACUACAAUGCCCAGUACAGAGGGGGCCGAAGCCGCGAGGCGGAGGAAAUCCUGAAAACUGGGCCCAGUUCGGACUGUAGGCUGCAACCCGCCUACACGAAGCCGGAAUCGCUAGUAAUGGCGCAUCAGCUACGGCGCCGUGAAUACGUUCCCGGGUCUUGUACACACCGCCCGUCACAUCAUGGAAGCCGGUCGCACCCGAAGUAUCUGAAGCCAACCGCAAGGAGGCAGGGUCCUAAGGUGAGACUGGUAACUGGGAUG
rnacentral:rRNA from 1 species